GAUGAACGCUAGCUACAGGCUUAACACAUGCAAGUCGAGGAACCGGCGCACGGGUGAGUAACACGUAUCCAACCUGCCCUUUACUCGGGGAUAGCCUUUCGAAAGAAAGAUUAAUACCCGAUAUAAAGGAUGGGGAUGCGUUCCAUUAGGUUGUUGGUGAGGUAACGGCUCACCAAGCCUUCGAUGGAUAGGGGUUCUUAGAGGAAGGGCCACAAAAUUGGAACUGGGACACGGACCAAAAUCCUACCGGAGGCAGGAGGGAGGAAUAGUGGUCAAUGGGCGCUAGCCUGGACCAGCCAAGUAGCGGGAAGGAUUAAGGCUUAUGGGUCGUAAACUUCUUUUAUAUAAGAAUAUGUAUUAUAUGAAUAAGGAUCGGCUAACUCCGUGCCAGCAGCCGCGGUAAUUC
rnacentral:rRNA from 1 species